GGUUCAGUGUGGCUAGUGGUUUGGGUGCUGGACUAGGACUCUGGAGACCCGGGUUCGAAUCCCCGCUGGGCCA